rnacentral:lncRNA from 1 species
AAAUUUAAAAAACCAAGUAUAGGAGUUCUCGUUGCAGCUCAGUGGUAACAAACAUAACUGGUAUCCAUGAGGAUGCAGGUUCGAUCCCUGGCCUCACUCAGUGGGUUAAGGAUCUGGUGUUGCUGUGAGCUGUGGUAUAGGUCACAGGCACAGCUCAGGUUCUGAGUUGCUGUGGCUGUGGCACAGGCCAACAACUACAGCUCCAAUUAGACCCCCAGCCUGGGAACUUUCAUAUGCCAUGGGUGCGGCGCUAAAAAGCAAAAACAAAAACAAACAAAAAAAAAAGUAUAUAUGUAUAAAGGAAUCACUUUGGUGGUGCAUAGCAGAAAUUAACACAACAUAGUAAAUUGACGGCACUUCAAUAAUAAUUUAAAAAGGGACCCUGCCUUAAAGUGAUGAUUUACAAAGACAGUUGUCACACAUAUACACAUUCUUCAAGGUCAGUGCCCUCAACCUAAGCUCCACUCUGGGCAGGUGUGGAGGGUGUUAGUAACACACAUAACACAGUAUGUCCUCCCGCUGGAAGUGAGCCCAGCAGGUGGAGAAAAUGCUGAGUGGGCCUGGGCUCUUGGAGGACGAGAGUCAGUCUCCUUCCAGCUGGGGAGGUCAGUUCCCAUAGCUGACGUUCUUCUGUGGUGUCAGAACAGUCACUGAUCUGUUGAAAGGGCUUCCCCAUUUUAGUCAAGGAUGAAAAUGACUAAUUUUAUGGGGUUUUGGGGUGUUCUCUCAACUCUUCAAGAUUGGCACUGAAUCAUGGGCUGAUAGCCUUAAUACAUAUCCAAAGUCUUGGAAAUCAGUGAGAAAAUGUACACUCCAUCAGGUAAAUAAAUACAAUAUAAACAGGCAAUUAAAAUGGCUAAAUAAUAUAUGGGGGAAAUGAUUUGGCCUCACUAACAAUCAAAGAAGUGAAAACAAAAGCAAGAUUUUCUAAAUGCUCAUCAACCUGGCAAAGUUAAAAAAAAUGGACAGGAUUCCUUUUUUUUUUUUUUUUUUAAUGGCCACACUCAGGGUAUAUAGAAGUUCCCAGGCCAGGGGUCAAAUCGGAGCUGCAGCUCCCAGCCUAUACAAUAGCUCAUGGCAACGCCAGAUCCUUAACUCACUGAGCGAGGCCAGGGAUCAAACCUGCAUUCUUAUGAAUACUAGUAGAGUUUGUUACUGCUGAGCUAUGACAGGAACUCCAGAAUAAUUCCAUUUUUAAUUUUUCGAGGAUCCUCUAUACUGUUUUCCAUAGUGGCUCUGCCAAUUUACAGUCCCAUCAACAGUGCACAAGGAUGCUCUUUUCUCCACAUCCUCCCUCAACACUUGUUGCCUUUUUGAUGACAACCAUUUUGACAGGUGUGAGGUGAUGUGCAUGCCACAUUGUGGUUUUGAUUUGCACUUCCCUGAUGAUUAGUGAUGCUGAGCAUCUUUUCAUGUGUCUGCUGGCCAUACAUGUCUUCUUUGGAGAAAUGUCUAUUUAGGUUUUCUGGCUAUUGUUUAAUUGGAUUGUUUUCAUGAUACUGAGUUGUGUGAAUUCUUUAUCUAUUCUGAAUAUUGACCCCUUAUCAAAAAUCAUUUGCGAGUCUCUUCUACCACCCAGUAGGUUAGGCCUUUCAUUUUUUUGAUGGCUUCUUUCUCUGUGCAAAAGUUUUUCAAUUUGGUGUAGUCUCUUUUGUUUAUUUUUGCUUUUAUUGUCCUUGCCUGAAGAGACAGAUCCCCCCCCCAAAAAAAAAUUGCUAAGACCAAUGUCAAAGCCAAUUUUUCAGAACUAUUAAAUAUGCUUCCAUUGUGAGCACACUGAAUACCUUCACUUGGUUUAGAACUCCUAGUCUCUGCAGCUUCUCUUCUCUAAGCUGUGUCUAACAGACAAAUAUAGCAAUCUAAAGUAAGUGAGCCACUGCUAUGUCUUUCCCUAUUUUGCACUUGAACUAUUAAAAAAAAAAAAAAA